AUUGAACGCUAGCGGGAUGCUUUACACAUGCAAGUCGAACGAGUGGCGGACGGGUGAGAAAUAUAUCGGAACGUGCCCAGUAGCGGGGUAUAACUACUCGAAAGAGUGGCUAAUACCGCAUACUAUUGGAGCGGCCGAUAUCGGAUUAGCUAGGUGGUGGGGUCAAGGCUCACCAAGGCAACGAUCCGUAGCUGGUUUGAGAGGACGACCAGCGAAACUGGGACUGAGACACGGCCCAGAUGGCUACGGGAGGGAGCAGUGGGGAAUUUUGGACAAUAGGCGAAAGCCUGAAGCAGCGACGCCGGGUGGGGGAGAAGGCUUUCGGGUUGUAAACCUCUUUCGCUAUCGAACGGGUAGGUGGAGAAGAAGCGCCGGCUAACUACGUGCCAGCAGCCGCGGUAAUUC
rnacentral:rRNA from 1 species